CCCCGGAGGCUCGCGAGCUGGAGGAGAGGACCGCGGCAGGACUUCUCCGCGGGGCUGCGGGACCCGCGCCGGCUCACUUCGGAGAGCGCGACCCCUUAAAGGGACCUAGGCGCUUCCGCAGCGGGGUCCCGAGCAGCGGCCCCCGCAGACAGAGUCACUGACUUUGAGUUAUGAAAAAAGAACCUAUAGCAGCUUGACAACGAGGAGGUCUCUGCAUCUACCCUCCAGCAACACUGGUGACUCCCUUAUUGAAUACUUUUCACAACCAUUUGGCCUUCCUCCAGACCAUUGCAAGGGUCUGUGAUCUAGACUUUUCUGCCAUAAGUCAGAAAGAAAUGUUCACUAUGCUUCUGCCUCUGCUGCAACUCCUUGGGCUAAGGCUGGAGAAAUGAGCUUGCUGUUCUGGAAAGCAUCUUGUUUACUGACUUCCAUGUAGAGGAAUAUAUGGUUUCCAUAUAGAGGAAGGUGGUUGGGAAUGCAUGUUGAAUGAGCCAAAUGAUAGUAUCUGACAGAGACAGAUCAACAUACACAGGACAGAUCCCGUGCAAGGUGGCAACCACUAUGACAUAGUUACAAGAGGCUACUGUAGGGCAGCGUGGUCUGGGGGCUACAAUCAGUGCAACGUGCAAAGGCUGACACCUGAAAAGACAAUUUAUCCAAUGGACAAAAGAAUUUCGGACAAAGAAACAGAGCCAAGCACAGGUAUGAAAAAGCCAAAUUGGCACACAAAUAAUUUAGGGUUUGAGGGUUGGAAUCCAGUGUGUAUAUAAGAAAGUGGAAGAGGUUAGAAGGGCUGUCAAGGGUGAGACCGUGAAGGCCCUACCUAGUUAUGUGAUUCUGAAGAAUUUGGCCUUGGGGCGCCUGGGCAUCUCUGUCAGUUAAGUGUCUGGCUCUUGGUUUUGGCUCAAGUCAUGACCUCAUGGGUCCUGAAAUUGAGCCCUGCAUUAGGCUCCCCGCUCAGUGCGGAGGCUACUUGUCCCUCUCCCUCAGACCCUCCCUGGCUUGUGCUCUCUGUCUCUCUCUCUCAAAUAAAUAAAUAAAAUCUUAAAAAAAAAAAAAAAAAGGUGGGGCGCCUGGGUGGCUCAGUGGGUUAAGCCGCUGCCUUCGGCUCAGGUCAUGAUCUCAGGGUCCUGGGAUCGAGUCCCGCAUCGGGCUCUCUGCUCAGCAGGGAGCCUGCUUCCUUCUCUCUCUCUCUCUCUGCCUGCCUCUCAGUGUACUUGUAAUUUCUCUCUGUCAAAUAAAUAAAUAAAAUCUUUAAAAAAAAAAAAA